rnacentral:rRNA from 1 species
GCGAUAGGCCAUACCACCCUGAGAAUGCCUGAUCUCAUCUGAUCUCAGAAGCUAAGUAGGAUUGGGCUGGUUAGUACUUGGAUGGGAGACCAUCUGGGAACAUUAGGUUCUGUAGGCU